rnacentral:rRNA from 1 species
GAUGAACGCUGGCUACAGGCUUAACACGUGCAAGUCGAGGGGAAACGACGGGGAAGCUUGCUUCCCCGGGCGUCGACCGGCGCACGGGUGAGUAACGCGUAUCCAACCUGCCUCUGACUGAGGGAUAACCCGUCGAAAGUCGGCCUAAUACCUCAUGGUAUCGUCUGCGGGCAUCCAACGACGAUUAAAGAUUUCAUCGGUCAGGGAUGGGGAUGCGUCUGAUUAGCUUGUUGGCGGGGUAACGGCCCACCAAGGCUACGAUCAGUAGGGGUUCUGAGAGGAAGGUCCCCCACAUUGGAACUGAGACACGGUCCAAACUCCUACGGGAGGCAGCAGUGAGGAAUAUUGGUCAAUGGGCGAGAGCCUGAACCAGCCAAGUGGCGUGCAGGAAGACGGCCCUAUGGGUUGUAAACUGCUUUUAUGCGGGGAUAAAGUGAGGGACGUGUCCCUCAUUGCAGGUACCGCAUGAAUAAGGACCGGCUAAUUCCGUGCCAGCAGCCGCGGUAAUACGGAAGGUCCUGGCGUUAUCCGGAUUUAUUGGGUUUAAAGGGAGCGUAGGCCGUGGAUUAAGCGUAUUGUGAAAUGCAGGUGCUCAACGUCUGCACUGCAGCGCGAACUGGUCCACUUGAGUGUGCGCAACGCAGGCGGAAUUCGUCGUGUAGCGGUGAAAUGCUUAGAUAUGACGAAGAACUCCGAUUGCGAAGGCAGCUUGCGGGAGCACAACUGACGCUGAAGCUCGAAAGUGCGGGUAUCGAACAGG